CAAUUGUACUGGCUAGUUUUGUGU
rnacentral:piRNA from 1 species